UACGUAGGGUGCGAGCGUUAAUCGGAAUUACUGGGCGUAAAGCGUGCGCAGGCGGUUUUGUAAGCCAGAUGUGAAAUCCCCGGGCUUAACCUGGGAAUGGCAUUUGGGACUGCAAGGCUGGAGUGCGGCAGAGGAGACUGGAAUUCCUGGUGUAGCAGUGAAAUGCGUAGAUAUCAGGAGGAAUACCGAUGGCGAAGGCAGGUCUCUGGGCUGACACUGACGCUCAUGCACGAAAGCGCGGGGAGCAAACAGG
rnacentral:rRNA from 1 species